UACGUAGGGUGCAAGCGUUGUCCGGAAUCAUUGGGCGUAAAGCGCGCGUAGGUGGUCAUGUAAGUCCGCUGUGAAAGUCAAAGGCUCAACCUUUGAAAGCCGGUGGAUACUGCAUGACUAGAGUACGGAAGAGGCGAGUGGAAUUCCUGGUGUAGCGGUGGAAUGCGCAGAUAUCAGGAGGAACACCGGUGGCGAAGGCGGGUCUCUGGGAAGUAACUGACGCUGAGAAGCGAAAGCAUGGGUAGCAAACAGG
rnacentral:rRNA from 1 species